ensembl:snRNA Gm23000 predicted gene, 23000
NNACUUUAGGCAAAUAAUAAAAAUUUAAAUAUAAAUGUUUAUCAAAGAAUUGAUGGAUAACCCCUGCAAGUUCCCCAAAUGUGGGAAACUUGACUGCAUAAUUUGUGGUAGUGGAUGACUGUGUUUGUGUUUUCCUUUG